UACGUAGGUGGCAAGCGUUGUCCGGAUUAUUGGGUUUAAAGGGUGCGUAGGCGGUCUUAUAAGUCAGUGCUGAAAUAUCCCGGCUUAACCGGGAGGGUGGCAUUGAUACUGCAAGACUUGAGUAGAGUUGAGGUUGGCGGAAUUGACGGUGUAGCGGUGAAAUGCUUAGAUAUCGUCAAGAACACCGAUAGUGAAGACAGCUAACUAAGCUCUAACUGACGCUGAGGCACGAAAGUGUGGGGAUCAAACAGG
rnacentral:rRNA from 1 species